rnacentral:lncRNA from 1 species
AUGAAAACGGUCCCGCCGAACGUCUGCCGGGAGGAGAAGCAGCCCCCUCCGACGUCCCGAACACGCCGUGUGGAGCCUGACGUUAUGAAAUGUCUGGUUAAUUGUCUCCGGUCGUUAAUUGGUGCCUUUCGCGCGGCGGAGAGGGAAAAGCAACCCGGCUCUCGACGGCUGAGCCUUCCCCCCGCGGGACAGGCCUGGGAGGAUAAAUACAGUGCCUGGAGGAGGGUGUUAUUGCCCCUUUCGGGGGUAUUAUUGCCCCUUUCAGAGAUGUUAUUGCCCCUUUCAGGGGUAUUAUUGCCCUUUAAGGGAUUUUAUUGCACUUUGGAGGGAUAUUAUUACCCUUUUCAGGGAUGUUACAGCCCCUUUCAGGGAUGUUAUUGCCCUUUGCAAGGAUAUUAUUGCCCCUUUCAGGGAUGUUAUUGCCCCUUUCAUGGAUAUUAUUGCCCUUUGCACGAUGUUACUGCUUCUCUCAGGGAUGUUAUUGCCCUUUGGAGGGAUGUUGUUGCCCCUUUCAGGGAUGUUAUUGCCCCUUUCAUGGAUAUUAUUGCCCUUUGUAUGAUGUUGUUGCCCCUUUCAGGGAUAUUAUUGCCCUUUUCAUGGGUAUUAUUGCCCUUUAAGGGAUUUUAUUGCCCUUUGGAGAGGUAUUAUUGCCCUUUUCAGGGAUGUUACUGCCCCCUUAUGGGAUAUUAUUGCCCCUUUCAUGGAUAUUAUUGCCCCUUUCAGAGAAGUUAUUGCCCCUUUCAUGGAUGUUUUUGCCCUUUGCAUGAUGUUAUUGCCCCUUUCAGGGAUAUUAUUGCCUUUUUCAUGGGUAUUAUUGCCCUUUGCAUGAUGUUAUUGCCCUUUGCAAGGAUAUUAUUGCCCCUUUCAGGGAUGCUAUUGCCUUUUNUUAUUGCCCCUUUCAUGGAUAUUAUUGCCCCUUUCAGAGAAGUUAUUGCCCCUUUCAUGGAUGUUUUUGCCCUUUGCAUGAUGUUAUUGCCCCUUUCAGGGAUAUUAUUGCCUUUUUCAUGGGUAUUAUUGCCCUUUGCAUGA